GGCGUAGUGAGUGACAGGUGUGGGGCCGCUGGGAGCGCGCUUUUUGCGGAUACUCCGGGUGGGUGCUGUCGGUGGGUCACAGUCUAGGAGGACGAGCGGGGCCGAAAUAUUUGCUUCGAAGAAGAAUGUGAGUCUGCUUUUUGUUUGAAAGACUUCUGCAGUUGUCACAAACCGCAUUGAACAGAAUGUCUGGUUUUCACC